AGAUUGAACGCUGGCGGCAGGCCUAACACAUGCAAGUCGAGCGGUAGAGAGGUGCUUGCAUCUCUUGAGAGCGGCGGACGGGUGAGUAAUGCCUAGGAAUCUGCCUAGUGGUGGGGGAUAACGUUCGGAAACGGACGCUAAUACCGCAUACGUCCUACGGGAGAGAGCGGGGGACCUUCGGGCCUCGCGCCAUUAGAUGAGCCUAGGUCGGAUUAGCUAGUUGGCGAGGUAAUGGCUCACCAAGGCGACGAUCCGUAACUGGUCUGAGAGGAUGAUCAGUCACACUGGAACUGAGACACGGUCCAGACUCCUACGGGAGGCAGCAGUGGGGAAUAUUGGACAAUGGGCGCAAGCCUGAUCCAGCCAUGCCGCGUGAGUGAAGAAGGCCCUUGGUUGUAAAGCUCUUUGUUGGGAAGAAAGCAAUCGGUUAAUACCCGGUUGUUCUGACGGUACCAAAGAAUAAGCACGCUAACUCGUGCCAGCAGCCGACG
rnacentral:rRNA from 1 species